rnacentral:rRNA from 1 species
AUGCCUUGGAAAAUGGAGCCGAAGAAGGACGUGAUUACCUGCGAAAAGUCUGGGGGAGCUGGAAGUAAGCUGCGAUCCCGGAAUGUCCGAAUGGGGAAACCUAACAUGAUUUAUCUCAUGUUAUCUAUAAGUGAAUACAUAGCUUAUAAGAAGGGAACCUAGGGAACUGAAACAUCUUAGUACCUAGAGGAAAAGAAAAUAAUAAUGAUUCUGUUAGUAGUGGCGAGCGAACACGGAACAGGCCAAACCGUUCUACGGGGCGGGGUUGUAGGACUUUUGUUAGAGUUACAAAGUUAUUGUAUAGUAGAAGCUAUUGGGAAGUAGCGGCAUAGAGGGUGAUACCCCCGUAUACGAAAUGCAAUAACCUCGAGAAAGUAUCCUGAGUACGGCGAAACACGUGAAAUUUUGUCGGAAUCUGCCAAGACCACUUGGUAAGCCUAAAUACUACCAUUUUACCGAUAGUGAACCAGUACCGUGAGGGAAAGGUGAAAAGCACCCCGAGAGGGGAGUGAAAGAGAUCCUGAAACCAUAUGCUUACAAGAAGGUAGAGCCCGUUAAUGGGUGAUACCGUGCUUUUUGUAGAAAGAGCCGGCGAGUUACUAUUGCAUGCGAGGUUAAGUCGAUAUAGAUGGAGCCGUAGUGAAAGCGAGCCUUAAUAGGGCGUUUAGUAUGCAGUAGUAGACACGAAACCGGGUGAUCUAGCCAUGAGCAGGUUGAAGUUAGGGUAAAACCUAAUGGAGGACCGAACCAGUAUUCGUUGAAAAGACUUUGGAUGACUUGUGGCUAGCGGUGAAAUUCCAAUCGAACCCGGAGAUAGCUAGUUCUCCCCGAUAUAUCUUUAAGGAUAGCGUUAUGUGAAUUGUUGUGGAGGUAGAGCACUGAAUCUAUGAUGGCUGCACCUAGCGGUACUGAUUAGAAUUAAACUCCGAAUGCCAUAACUUGUGCAUAGCAGUCAGAACAUGGGUGAUAAGGUCCAUGCUCGUGAGGGAAACAGCCCAGAUCGUCAGCUAAGGUCCCUAAGUGUAAACUAAGUGUGUAAGGAUGUGGAACUGCACAGACAGCUAGGAUGUUGGCUUAGAAGCAGCCAUCAUUUAAAGAGUGCGUAACAGCUCACUAGUCGAGUGAUUCUGCGCCGAAAAUGUACCGGGGCUUAAGUUUACCACCGAAGCUACGGAUUGUACGCAAGUACAGUGGUAGGGGAGCGUUCCAAGGGUGAUGAAGUCAGACCGUAAGGACUGGUGGAGCGCUUGGAAGUGAUUAUGCCGGCAUGAGUAACGUUUGGAAGUGAGAAUCUUCCAUGCCGUUUGACCAAGGUUUCCUGGGCAAGGUUCGUCCACCCAGGGUUAGUCAGGACCUAAGACGAGGCCGACAGGCGUAGUCGAUGGACAACAGGUUGAUAUUCCUGUACCAGUUAAUUAGUGAUGGAGUGACGGAGAAGGAUAGUAUAUCCCGGGUGCUGGUUGUCCCGGGCUAAGCACAAAGACGGCAACAUUGGCAAAUCCGUGUUGUAUUAACGUUGAAGUGUGAUGGGGAGUGAACGGUUCGCCUAGUAACGAAGUAUAUGACUCCACGCUUCCAAGAAAAGCUUCUAACAUUAAUAAUUAACUGCCUGUACCUAGAACGAACACACGUGGUCAAGGAGAAAAUCCUAAGGCAAGCGAGAUAACUGUAGCUAAGGAACUCUGCAAAAUAACUCCGUAACUUCGGAAGAAGGAGUGCUCAUCUUUGAUGAGCCGCAGUGAAGAGGGAGGGGCAACUGUUUAACAAAAACACAGCUCUCUGCUAAGUCGCAAGACGAUGUAUAGGGGGUGACACCUGCCCAGUGCCGGAAGGUUAAGAGGAGAAGUCAGCGCAAGCGAAGCUUUGAAUUGAAGCCCCGGUGAACGGCGGCCGUAACAAUAACGGUCCUAAGGUAGCGAAAUUCCUUGUCAGGUAAAUUCUGACCCGCACGAAAGGUGUAAUGAUCCCUUCGCUGUCUCGGCUGCAGACUCGGUGAAAUUUUAGUACCGGUGAAGAUGCCGGUUACCCGCA